rnacentral:tRNA from 1 species
GGACCAUUAGUUCAGCAGGUUAGAGCAACCGGCUCAUAACCGGUAUGUCGCAGGUUCGAGUCCUGCAUGGUCCA